CGGAGGGUGCAAGCGUUAUCCGGAUUUACUGGGUUUAAAGGGUGCGUAGGUGGGUCUGUAAGUCAGUGGUGAAAUCUCCGGGCUUAACUCGGAAACUGCCAUUGAUACUAUAGGUCUUGAAUUAUCUGGAGGUGAGCGGAAUAUGUCAUGUAGCGGUGAAAUGCUUAGAUAUGACAUAGAACACCAAUUGCGAAGGCAGCUCACUACGGAUAUAUUGACACUGAGGCACGAAAGCGUGGGGAUCAAACAGGAUUAGAUACCCUGGUAGUCCACGCCCUAAACGAUGGAUACUCGACAUACGCGAUACACUGUGUGUGUCUGAGCGAAAGCAUUAAGUAUCCCACCUGGGAAGUACGAUCGCAAGAUUG
rnacentral:rRNA from 1 species